ACUUCAGGUCAAUGAGAGAUUUGAAAACAGCGAGAGAUUUCUGAAUGUUGGAGAUGGAAGAUCUGUUCCAGUUCUAGCUUUAGGAAAUCUCAAACUUAUUUUCAAUUCUCAUUUAGUUGUUUUAAGUGAUUGUCACUAUUGUCCUACAUUCUUAUUGAAUGUAAUUUUCGUAGGCCUUUUGGCCAUGAACGGUUAUGAAAUUUCAAUAAAGAAAUGUUCUUGUGAUAUCAUUAUGAAUGGUAUUACUGUAAUGAAUGGAUAAUUGAGCAAUGGCAUCUACUUGUUAUCACAACCUGUUAAUGUAAUGUACACGUCAAGUAAGCGUCCUAGAAUAGAUAAUGUCACGGAUAUCUACCUUUGGCAUCAUAGGCUAGGUCAUAUUAACAAGAA
rnacentral:lncRNA from 1 species